GACCUGAGAGGGUGAUCGGCCACACUGGAACUGAGACACGGUCCAGACUCCUACGGGAGGCAGCAGUAGGGAAUCUUCCGCAAUGGGCGAAAGCCUGACGGAGCAACGCCGCGUGAGUGAUGAAGGUUUUCGGAUCGUAAAACUCUGUUAUCAGGGAAGAACAAAUGUGUAAGUAACUGUGCACAUCUUGACGGUACCUGAUCAGAAAGCCACGGCUAACUACGUGCCAGCAGCCGCGGUAAUACGUAGGUGGCAAGCGUUAUCCGGAAUUAUUGGGCGUAAAGCGCGCAUAGGCGGUUUUUUAAGUCUGAUGUGAAAGCCCACGGCUCAACCGUGGAGGGUCAUUGGAAACUG
rnacentral:rRNA from 1 species